rnacentral:rRNA from 1 species
GGCACUGUCUCAACGAGAGACUCGGUGAAAUCAUAGUACCUGUGAAGAUGCAGGUUACCCGCGACAGGACGGAAAGACCCCGUGGAGCUUUACUGUAGCCUGAUAUUGAAAUUCGGCACAGCUUGUACAGGAUAGGUAGGAGCCUUUGAAACGUGAGCGCUAGCUUACGUGGAGGCGCUGGUGGGAUACUACCCUAGCUGUGUUGGCUUUCUAACCCGCACCACUUAUCGUGGUGGGAGACAGUGUCAGGCGGGCAGUUUGACUGGGGCGGUCGCCUCCUAAAAGGUAACGGAGGCGCUCAAAGGUUCCCUCAGAAUGGUUGGAAAUCAUUCAUAGAGUGUAAAGGCAUAAGGGAGCUUGACUGCGAGACCUACAAGUCGAGCAGGGUCGAAAGACGGACUUAGUGAUCCGGUGGUUCCGCAUGGAAGGGCCAUCGCUCAACGGAUAAAAGCUACCCCGGGGAUAACAGGCUUAUCUCCCCCAAGAGUUCACAUCGACGGGGAGGUUUGGCACCUCGAUGUCGGCUCAUCGCAUCCUGGGGCUGUAGUCGGUCCCAAGGGUUGGGCUGUUCGCCCAUUAAAGCGGUACGCGAGCUGGGUUCAGAACGUCGUGAGACAGUUCGGUCCCUAUCCGUCGUGGGCGUAGGAAAUUUGAGAGGAGCUGUCCUUAGUACGAGAGGACCGGGAUGGACAUACCUCUGGUGUACCAGUUGUCGUGCCAACGGCAUAGCUGGGUAGCUAUGUGUGGACGGGAUAAGUGCUGAAAGCAUCUAAGCAUGAAGCCCCCCUCAAGAUGAGAUUUCCCAACUUCGGUUAUAAGAUCCCUCAAAGAUGAUGAGGUUAAUAGGUUCGAGGUGGAAGCAUGGUGACAUGUGGAGCUGACGAAUACUAAUCGAUCGAAGACUUAAUCAA